ACGAGGAUGGGAUUCGAACCCACGCGUGCAGAGCACAAUGGAUUAGCAGUCCAUCGCCUUAACCACUCGGCCACCUCGUCUUCAACUGAUGGGUAGAUA